rnacentral:rRNA from 1 species
UACGUAGGGGGCAAGCGUUGUCCGGAAUCAUUGGGCGUAAAGCGCGCGUAGGCGGCCCUGUAAGUCCGCUGUAAAAGUCAAAGGCUCAACCUUUGAAAGCCGGUGGAUACUGCAGGGCUAGAGUCCGGAAGAGGCGAGUGGAAUUCCUGGUGUAGCGGUGGAAUGCGCAGAUAUCAGGAGGAACACCAAUAGCGAAGGCAGCUCGCUGGGACGUUACUGACACUGAGGCGCGAAAGCGUGGGGAGCGAACAGG